CAGUAAAUAGUUUAAUAAAAAUGUUAAUUUUGGAGGUUAAUGAUGGGCUAUAAUUAUAAUGCUUUUUACUGA
rnacentral:tRNA from 1 species